CCUACGGGGGGCAGCAGUGGGGAAUAUUGCACAAUGGGGGAAACCCUGAUGCAGCGACGCCGCGUGAGUGAAGAAGUAAUUCGUUAUGUAAAGCCCUAUCAGCAGGGAAGAAAAUGACGGUACCUGAGUAAGAAGCCCCGGCUAACUACGUGCCAGCAGCCGAGGGAAUACGCAGGGGGCAAGCUUUAUCCGGAUUUACUGGGUGUAAAGGGAGCGUAGACGGCAGUGCAAGUCUGGAGUGAAAGGCGGGGGCUCAACCCCCGGACUGCUCUGGAAACUGGACGGCUGGAGUGCAGGAGAGGUAAGUGGAAUUCCUAGUGUAGCGGUGAAAUGCGUAGAUAUUAGGAGGAACACCAGUGGCGAAGGCGGCUUACUGGACUGUAACUGACGUUGAGGCUCGAAAGCGUGGGGAGCAAACAGGAUUAGAUACCCGAGUAGUC
rnacentral:rRNA from 1 species